rnacentral:rRNA from 1 species
GCCAGACUCCUACGGGAGGCAGCAGUGGGGGAUAUUGCACAAUGGGGGGAACCCUGAUGCAGCGACGCCGCGUGGGUGAGGAAGUACCCCGGUAUGUAAAGCCCUUUCGGCAGGGAAGAAAAUGACGGUACCUGGCGAAGAAGCCCCGGCUAACUACGUGCCAGCAGCCGCGGUAAUACGUAGGGGGCAAGCGUUAUCCGGAUUUACUGGGUGUAAAGGGAGCGUAGACGGCCAGACAAGUCUGAAGUGAAAAUCCAGCGCUUAACGUUGGAAGUGCUUUGGAAACUGCCGGGCUAGAGUGCAGGAGGGGCAGGCGGAAUUCCUAGUGUAGCGGUGAAAUGCGUAGAUAUUAGGAGGAACACCAGUGGCGAAGGCGGCCUGCUGGACUGCAACUGACGUUGAGGCUCGAAGGCGUGGGGAGCAAACAGGAUUAGAUACCCUAGUACU